GUUGUGACUCAGUGGUAGAGCACUUGCCUAGCAUAGGUGAAGCCCUGAGUUCAAUCCUCAGCACAACA
rnacentral:tRNA from 1 species